GCCGGAAUUAGUUGUGAAAACUGAAACCACAUCUUUCAGGAAGCGGGCGAUCCGAGGUGCUCAAAGUUCAUAUGACCAUCCUACCCCCACGAAGUGCACUAUAUUUACGACACCACCUCUCCUCAGACGAAAAUAUUCCUUGGCCGGUCGUUCGAUGCGCUUCUGGUCACCUGCGGUAACUCUCACCGUGUGCUUGAUAUGCUGAACUUGAUGAGGCCUUUUCA
rnacentral:lncRNA from 1 species